rnacentral:rRNA from 1 species
UACGAAGGGGGCUAGCGUUGUUCGGAUUUACUGGGCGUAAAGCGUGCGCAGGCGGUUUGUUAAGUCCGUUGUGAAAGCCCCGAGCUCAACUUGGGAAUUGCAGUGGAUACUGGCAGGCUGGAGUACGGUAGAGGAAGGUGGAAUUCCCGGUGUAGCAGUGAAAUGCGUAGAUAUCGGGAGGAACACCAGUGGCGAAGGCGGCCUUCUGGACCAGUACUGACGCUCAUGCACGAAAGCGUGGGGAGCAAACAGG